AUUCCAGCUCCAAUAGCGUAUAUUUAAGUUGUUGCAGUUAAAAAGCUCGUAGUUGGAUUUCGGAUGAAUGCGACCGGUCCGUCGUUACGAUGUGUACUGGUUGCGUCCAUCUUGCUGUCGGGGACGCGCUCCUGGCCUUAACUGGCUGGGACGCGGAGUCGGCGAAGUUACUUUGAAAAAAUUAGAGUGUUCAAAGCAGGCUUACGCUCUGAAUACAUUAGCAUGGAAUAACGCGAUAGGACUCUGGUCUUAUUGUGUUGGUCUUCGAGACCGGAGUAAUGAUUAAGAGGGACAGUUGGGGGCAUUCGUAUUUCAUUGUCAGAGGUGAAAUUCUUGGAUUUAUGAAAGACGAACUUCUGCGAAAGCAUUUGCCAAGGAUGUUUUCAUCA
rnacentral:rRNA from 1 species